GGACAUGUAGUUCAGUGGUAGAGCACAUAAUUUGCAGGUAUGAGGUCCUGGGUUCAAUUCCUGGCAAACCA
rnacentral:tRNA from 1 species